rnacentral:rRNA from 1 species
AUUGAACGCUGGCGGCAGGCCUAAACCAUGCAAGUCGAGCGGAGCGGCGGACGGGGGAGUAAUGCCUAGUAAUCUGCCUGGUAGUGGGGGAUAGCGUCCGGAAACGGGCGCUAAUACCGCAUACUAUCAGAUAAGCCUAGGUCGGAUUAGCUAUUUGGUGGGGUAAGGGCCUACCAAGGCGACGAUCCGUAACUGGUCUGAGAGGAUGAUCAGUCACACUGGAACUGAGAAACGGUCCAGACUCCUACGGGAGGCAGCAGUGGGGAAUAUUGGACAAUGGGCGAAAGCCUGAUGCAGCCAUGCCGCGUGUGUGAAGAAGGUCUUCGGAUUGUAAAGCACUUUCAGUUGGGAGGCGUUACCAGCAGAAUAAGCACCGGCUAACUCCGUGCCAGCAGCCGCGGUAAUAC